rnacentral:pre_miRNA from 1 species
CUUGGCACUGGGAGAAUUCACAGUUGACUUUAUUAUUCUGUGGUUCUGCGGGUGCCAAAAU